AUGGUAAUUGAUUUCUGCAAAUUAAAUAAGGCCACUAAAAAGGAUCAUUACCCCUUACCUUUUAUCGAUCAAAUGCUAGAAAGAUUAUCCAAACAUACACAUUUUUGCUUUCUAGAUGGUUAUUCUGGUUUUUCUCAAAUACCUGUGUCAGCCAAAGAUCAAUCAAAGACUACUUUUACUUGCCCUUUUGGUACUUUUGCUUAUAGACGUAUGCCUUUUGGUUUAUGUAAUGCACCUGCUACCUUUCAAAGAUGCAUGAUGGCUAUAUUCUCUGACUUUUGUGAAAAGAUUUGUGAGGUUUUCAUGGACGCUUUCUCCGUCUAUGGAUCUUCUUUUGAUGAUUGCUUGAGCAACCUUGAUCGAGUUUUGCAGAGAUGUGAAGAAACUAAUCUUGUCUUGAAUUGGGAAAAGUGCCACUUUAUGGUUAAUGAAGGUAUUGUCUUGGGGCACAACGUUUCUGAAAGAGUUAUUGAGGUUGAUAAAGCCAAGGUUGAUGCUAUUGAGAUGAUGCCAUGUCCCAAGGACAUCAAAGGUAUAAGAAGUUUCCUUGGUCAUGCUGGAUUUUAUAGGAGGUUCAUUAAGGACUUCUCAAAAAUUUCUUGGCCUCCGACUAAUUUAUUACAGAAAGAUAUACCAUUUGUCUUUGAUGAUGAUUGUGUAGAAGCAUUUGAAAUACUUAAGAAAGCAUUAAUCUCUGCACCUAUUGUUCAGCCACCUGAUUGGAAUUUACCCUUUGAAAUUAUGUGUGAUGCUAGUGAUUAUGCUAUAGGUGCUGUUCUAGGGCAAAGAGUUGAUAAUAAAUUAAAUGUUAUUCAAUAUGCUAGUAAAACCCUAGACAAUGCUCAAAGAAAUUAUGCUACUACUGAAAACGAAUUCUUAGCAGUUGUAUUUGCUUGUGAUAAGUUCAAACCUUAUAUUGUUGAUUCUAAAGUAACUAUUCACACUGAUCAUGCUGCUAUUAAAUAUCUUUUGGAAAAGAAAUAUGCUAAACCUAGACUUAUUAGAUGGGCUCUCUUGCUACAAGAAUUUGACUUACAUAUUGUUGAUAGAAAGGGAGCUGAGAACCCCGUUGCAGACAACUUGUCUAGGUUAGAAAAUGUGCUUGAUGACCCACUACCUAUUGAUGAUAGCUUUCCUGAUGAGCAAUUAAAUGUUAUAGACGCUUAUGAUACUGCUCCAUGGUAUGCUGAUUAUGCUAAUUACAUCAUUGCUAAGUUUAUACCACCUAGUUUCACAUACCAGCAAAAGAAAAAGUUCUUCUAUGAUUUGAGGCAUUACUUUUGGGAUGACCCACAUCUUUAUAAAGAAGGAAUAGAUGGUGUUAUUAGACGUUGUGUACCUGAGCAUGAACAUGAACAGAUCCUACGCAAGUGUCACUCCGAAGCUUAUGGAGGAUACCAUGCUGGAGAUAGAACUGCACAUAAGGUACUGCAAUUUGGUUUUUAUUGA
rnacentral:rRNA from 1 species